GGCGGGACACGUGGUAUCCUGUCUGAAUAUGGGGGGACCAUCCUCCAAGGCUAAAUACUCCUGACUGACCGAUAGUGAACCAGUACCGUGAGGGAAAGGCGAAAAGAACCCCGGCGAGGGGAGUGAAAAAGAACCUGAAACCGUGUACGUACAAGCAGUGGGAGCACCCUUUGGGGUGUGACUGCGUACCUUUUGUAUAAUGGGUCAGCGACUUAUAUUCUGUAGCAAGGUUAACCGUAUAGGGGAGCCGGAGGGAAACCGAGUCUUAACCGGGCGUUAAGUUGCAGGGUAUAGACCCGAAACCCGGUGAUCUAGCCAUGGGCAGGUUGAAGGUUGGGUAACACUAACUGGAGGACCGAACCGACUAAUGUUGAAAAAUUAGCGGAUGACCUGUGGCUGGGGGUGAAAGGCCAAUCAAACCGGGAGAUAGCUGGUUCUCCCCGAAAGCUAUUUAGGUAGCGCCUCGUGAAUUCAUCUCCGGGGGUAGAGCACUGUUUCGGCUAGGGGGCCAUCCCGGCUUACCAACCCGAUGCAAACUGCGAAUACCGGAGAAUGUUAUCACGGGAGACACACGGCGGGUGCUAACGUCCGUCGUGAAGAGGGAAACAACCCAGACCGCCAGCUAAGGUCCCAAAGUCAUGGUUAAGUGGGAAACGAUGUGGGAAGGCCCAGACAGCCAGGAUGUUGGCUUAGAAGCAGCCAUCAUUUAAAGAAAGCGUAAUAGCUCACUGGUCGAGUCGGCCUGCGCGGAAGAUGUAACGGGGCUAAACCAUGCACCGAAGCUGCGGCAGCGACGCUUAUGCGUUGUUGGGUAGGGGAGCGUUCUGUAAGCCUGCGAAGGUGGCCUGUGAGGG
rnacentral:rRNA from 1 species